ACUUACCGAGCCGGAACAGAAAGGAAUUGGGUGUCGAGGACACCGAUGAACUUUUGGCUCUGUGGUGGUGAUGUUGUGUUUGCAAUUUGUCCGGUAUCCCGGAUAUGGUCAUUAUUUACUGUUUUCACUUCUGUACAUUAACCCUGUCUGUCCAUAGUGAUUUAUGUAGCACCGCCACUUUAGCGGUGCUUUUUUUU
rnacentral:other from 1 species